rnacentral:rRNA from 2 species
UACGAAGGGGGCUAGCGUUGUUCGGAAUUACUGGGCGUAAAGGGCGCGUAGGCGGCCGAUCAAGUCAGAUGUGAAAGUCCUGGGCUUAACCUGGGGACUGCAUUUGAUACUGAUUGGCUUGAAUUCGGGAGAGGAUAGCGGAAUUCCCAGUGUAGAGGUGAAAUUCGUAGAUAUUGGGAAGAACACCGGUGGCGAAGGCGGCUAUCUGGACCGACAUUGACGCUGAGGCGCGAAAGCGUGGGGAGCAAACAGG